GUGAAGCUAAUCAAGGUAUGCUUUGGAUCUACAUAUGUGAUUAAUCUGGAGGUUGCUUGGGCUCCAUUUUGUUUAAGGAAAAGAGACUUUGUGUGGGACACUAAUUUUAUACUUUUUGUUCUUUUGGAAAGUCUCUUUUGAUAUUGAAAUGUUGACGUGUUGUUGUGGAGGAACAAAAAGAUAUCAGCUAGUGUUUUAACUGCUGCAACUUUUGUUUGGGUGCUCUUUGAAUGGCUCAAUUAUCAUUUCUUGACUCUUGUGGGUUUUGCUUUGGUUCUAGGUAUGCUUGCUCAAUUUCUCUGGUCAAAUUUUUGGGGAUUCAUUUGGAGGCGAUUCCAAAUGUUCAGUUUGAGACUUAUUCGUCAACGUUGCCAUCUCAAUUGGUGAAAUUAAUAGAGGGCUGGAGCUUAUUCAGGAUGUUGCUUGUGGAGGAAAUCUGAAGCAAUUUCUUGUGGCUCCAAACAAGGACAGCAGCUGCAAUGUCAGAAAAUGCCAUAGUUCUGAGUUUUAAAUCGAGGGUUGGAGCUGCGUUUUCCAUGGUUUACAUAUUUGGAGCUCCGGUCAUGUUUGUUGGGUGAGAGCAGUGCUACACACACCUCAAAAAGUUGAAUGUAAAAUCAAUUGUGAAGACCCCUUUGGUUAGAAUGUUUUUGUUCUUUUAAUGUUGGUUUGGA